CCUACGGGAGGCAGCAGUGAGGAAUAUUGGUCAAUGGACGAGAGUCUGAACCAGCCAAGUCGCGUGAAGGAUGACUGCCCUAUGGGUUGUAAACUUCUUUUAUAUGGGAGUAAAAUGUUCCACGUGUGGGAUUUUGUAUGUACCAUAUGAAUAAGGCUCGGCUAACUCCGUGCCAGCAGCCGCGGUAAUACGGAGGAUCCGAGCGUUAUCCGGAUUUAUUGGGUUUAAAGGGAGCGUAGGUGGAUUGUUAAGUCAGUUGUGAAAGUGUGCGGCUCAACCGUAAAAUUGCAGUUGAAACUGGCAGUCUUGAGUACAGUAGAGGUGGGCGGAAUUCGUGGUGUAGCGGUGAAAUGCUUAGAUAUCACGAAGAACUCCGAUUGCGAAGGCAGCUCACUGGACUGCAACUGACACUGAGGCUCGAAAGUGUGGGGAUCAAACAGGAUUAGAUACCCCUGUAGUC
rnacentral:rRNA from 1 species